CGUCAUGAAUCAUUUUCGGAAUGUGGAGCUAAAGUUAAUCCUCAUAAUUAUAAAGAAGCAUGUGUUCUGGAUGCGUGUGGCUGUUCGGGUUAUCGUUGUCAUUGUGCGGCUUACAGAGCAUAUGCAAGAGAAUGUACGCGUGUUGGAGCAGAACCUAAAGACUGGUUGCACGCUUCUUGGUGUGAAGGUCCACCACCAAAGUGGCUAAGUCGUCGCCAUAAUGGUUUUGGUCGCUCGACUAAAUCAAAGAAGACAGAUUUGUUAACAUUGGCACCAAUACCUAAGCGAAAUAAUAGUCGUUCUAGGCCACCUCCUCCCAUUCUACAAUAACUUCCCAACAUCGGCGAUACAAUUACUAGUCAAACCUGCCAGUGCGGCAAUGUGAGUAUGUAAACGGAAUGUCGCGUUGAAUUGAACAUGAGAUGUGCUUGUAAGGUGCGAAAGAUUUAGGAAAGAAGAUCUAUUUACAUAAACAGUAUUCAUAAAUCUACUUAUAGUUAAGUGAA